GGAAAAUAAUUUCAAAAUGAAUGCACGUGAACAUUUAUUUGUAUCGGCCAAAGGUGCAUGCAAAUGAAUAUAUCUUUGUCCCUUUAAUGUCCAAAGCCCGUUCCCACGGACUAUCUUCCAAUAGACAAUCCCGCACAGCAUCAAUAUUUUCUCGUAAAUCACCGGUGCUCAGAGAUUAGUUUUUCUUAGAAGGAAGGAUGCAUAUCUAUCGUAUUAAUUACAAACAGAACUCUGUGAGUAGCAAAGUAAAUAAACAAUGAGUGCAUUUAGACCAAAAAAAUACAACAAAAUGUGUACCUGAAAUUAAAGAGCGAGAAAUGAGCGAAUAAACGGAAAAAUUAAUACAAACGAGAAGGGACGUGUGAGACACUUCUCACAAAAUUUGGUGGCUGUAGCUUUUAAAGUCUCUGAGUACUAGGCUCAUCAGGACGGACAGACGGACGGGCAGACAGACAUGGCUCAAUCGACUCGACUAUUGAUGCUGAUCAAGAAUAUAUAUUCUUGAUGGGGUCGGAAACGUUUCCUUCUGUGUAACGCACAUUCAAUUGGUGCACAAAUACAAUACAAUACUAAAAAAAUACAAUUUACUCUUCGAGUACCGCGUAUAAAAAUAUAAUAUAAUAAUAAAAUGUAUACAACUUUUUCUGUUUUCAGAACAUUGUGGAAAUUAAUGAAUACUCAAUAUCUGUGCUUAAUCCCUCGGCCCGUAACAGUCAAAAAAAAAUGUUCACAUUCGAUAGUGUGUACGACAUGAUCUCAAAAACUGAAGUUAUAUAUAACGAAAUGUGCUAUUCUUUAGUUGAGAGCACAUUAGAUGGAUACAAUGGCACUAUAUUUGCUUAUGGCCAGACUGGCUGUGGUAAAACACAUACAAUGCAGGUAACAUAGUUUUGUUGUUGUUUUUGGUGAAGUAAUAAUUUUUUAACUCCCGUAAAGGGCUAUGGUAACGUUCAAGAAGGUUAUAAUUGCGGAAUAAUUCCCAGAUGUUUUGAACAUAUUUUUGAAACAAUAUCUAUGGCCACUAAUAUUAGAUAUUUGGCUUUAGUAAGUUAUUUGGAAAUUUACAAUGAAAAUAUUCGAGAUUUGUUGUCUGAUUCUACAAGUGUUAUAAAUCAUCCGCUUAAAGAAAUACCAGGCGUGGGAGUAACAGUGCCAACGUUAUCUACACAACCUGUAAUCAACGCAAAACAAUGCUUUUAUUGGCUAAAAUUAGGCAACAAAAACCGUGUUACAGCUUCUACUCUAAUGAAUGAAAAAAGCUCCCGCUCUCACUCAAUAUUUACAAUAAGUUUGGAGCAAUUUCAAGGACCUUCUUCCCCAUCUGUAUCUACUAUUUCAUCGGGAGAUGUUAUGGGAGGAAUUCGUCGUGGAAAAUUAAACUUGGUUGAUCUAGCAGGUUCUGAAAGACAGCGUAAGACUGGAGCUCAGGGUGAGCGGUUCAAGGAAGCUACUAAGAUCAAUUUAUCACUUUCUGCUUUGGGCAACGUAAUUUCAUCGUUGGUCGAUAGUAAAUCAAAGCAUGUACCAUAUCGGGACUCAAAACUUACUCGUCUUCUACAGGUAAACACAACAAUAAAAUUAUUGCUUAAUUAAUACAUAAUAGUAUAAACAUAUACAGGACUCUUUAGGAGGCAAUACAAAAACUCUCAUGAUAUCAUGUAUUUCACCAGCAGACUCAAACUACGACGAGACUUUAUCCACACUGCGUUACGCUAGCAGAGCAAAACAUAUUUCAAACAAGCCAAAAAUUAACGAAGAUCCAAAAGAUGCUCAGCUUCGUCAGUAUCAAAAUGAAAUAUUACAUUUAAAAAAAAUGCUCGAAGAGUCCGAACAAAAAGUAUUCCUAAGGAAAGACCAAGAUAACACAGUAAGACAAUUGUCUCAUAUUUAUUAUAAUUUACACAGUCGAAAAUCAGACGUUGAGAUUGCCAAUAUACAUUUCCCUACACCAAAUAGCGAAACAGACAACCUAUUUGAGCUAAAUAAAUCAAAAGCAUCCGAAUCAAACGACGAGCUGCAAUUACAAGCACGAAAUCGUAUAGAUUUUAUUAAACGCACUUUGAUUGGAGGUGAACGUGCUAAUGAUUUGCAGCUAAGGGAACGUCAUAGGGUACGAAAAAUAGCAGCACAACGCCAUUUAAGUGCGAUCGCCAACGCAUUAAGUAGAGUUGAAAGCGAAGAUCGAGAUCUUUUGCAAGGUCAUUACGCUAGUAUUACACAGGAAAUAAACAUAAAAAAUGAGCAUAUAAGAACCUGCAAACAAAAAAUUAAAAUGCUUGAAAGAGAAGUUGGCGACUUAAAUUCCGAGUUUCAGCUAGAUCGAGAGGAUUAUUUAGAUGAAAUUCGAGAUCUCGGACGAAACGUUAAAUUUUUUCAGCAACUUUUUAAUAAAGCUCAGCCUAUUCUUCGGAGAAACGGAAAAAAUUGGUAACAGCACGCAUUUUUGAUAUACAAUAACACAUGAAUUAAUUUUCUACUAGGUGUCCCUCCGUUAUUCUAGAAAACUCUGUUUGGAAUGAUGAUCUUAAGGUUUGGAGGAUCCCAGAUACAGAUAGCUUAAAACUACCGCCAGCUCAUCUGAUCCCUGAUUUUCAGCGUGUCAAUAGCUCAGGAAUAAAUGAUAUUAAAAGCCCCAAAUAUAUUGAAAAAAAAAGAAAUAUCGGCAGUGUGGAAGUGGAAGCUGAUGACAAAGUAAAUAUGUUCACAACUAUAUACUUUAAGCACACAUAAACCAACAUAAUUAUUUUGUAUUAAAACAGGGCUCUGCUCGGCCCUAUCCUUCAUUCUUGCAUUCUACCUAUAGUUUGCAGCGUGGAGACCGUAUAACGUAUAAGUGUACACCCACAAAUAUUUUUCAAACAUUUUUUGCACAUCGUCUCAUUAUACCUUCUGCUUUGUGCCGAGUGCGGCUCUAGGCGAGUGCAUCUGUCAUCUACAUCACUUCUUACGCCAACACUCCCUUUUUGUUCCGCCUGAGCAGAGUCCAUGGCUCGUCAGAGGACACACCACUUUAGACCUUUUUAUACCCGGUACUCGAAGAGUAAAUAGGGUAUAUUGUAUUUGUGCACAAAGUAUGUAACACACAAAAGGAAACGUUUCCGACCCCAUAAAGUAUAUGUAUAUAUUCUUGAUCAGCAUCAAAAGCCGAGUCGAUUGAGCCAUGUCUGUCCGUCCGUCCGUCCGUCUUGUUGAGCGCCUGGAUCUCAGAGACCAUAAAAGCUAGAACCACCAAAUUUUGCAUCCAGACACUGUUACAAGUGUAUUUCAAAAAUGAGCCCCGCCCCCGCAAACGGCGAAACCUCCCAAAUCAAUUUUGAAGAUAAAAGAAAACUAAAAACGCCAUUCUGUAGGAAAUGACCAUAUCUAUCAGAUAACCAAAUUGGGAUCCGAUUGGAUCAUCCCGCUGGAAUGUUUCCGAAGCAGAGUGAAGUCCGAAAGGCAUCACUUUAAUUUGGAGAGGCCUCUUCCGGGACGCCCCGGUAUCAAUUGUGGCCUCCUUUGUUAGUCCUCCUGUUGAUACCAUAGCCACGAUCCGGCCGUCGUGUAGAUGUAGGGAGUCUCGUGUCUGGUCAGGCGUAUCCCGGCUGAUCCCGUGCACAAAGCAACUAUAUAAGGAGGUCUGUCGGAAAAAAUUAUGAAAACGUGCGAGUGAAAGGUGCGAGUGAAAGGACUCUCGCUGUAAGUGUGAGGGCAACGACAAUGGAGUGUACUGAUUAAUCAUAUGAAAGCAAUGUGGAAAAACAUAAUAUGUGUUUCAUAAUUUAAUUUUUAAUACUUUGCUACAUGAUAGUAGUCUGUUUUUUGUUUUUCAAUGUUUCAAUGUUCAAUGUUUUUCAAUAUUUGUUAUAGUUAACCUUUAAGUCAAAGCUGCUAUUCAUUAUUCUCUUCAUUAAAAAUGCAAAAAUAAAAUGUUAGACAUCUACUAAUCACUUAUUGUUUAUUAAGGACUCGGAAAGCUCAGACAUAUCCAAAGAAACGUAUAAUGUAAAUAUACUUCAAAAUUACUUUCGAUCAAACCGUCAAAAAAAUAAGGACUCUGAACCCAGUACUCAUCGCACUAAGAAGUUUUACGUAGAAAAAGGUGAUAGCCGUUAUAUAUAUAUCUUUCUCGCAUACACAUACAUACAUAUGAACAAAACUGGUAUUCAUAAAAUGAAGAUUAAUUUGUAGUAUACGGUUAAAUUAUUACUUCAGUAAUUAAUUAUCCGUUUCAUUUUUUUCACAGAUGUUUUAUCAACCAAAAUCAACAUUCCAAUGGCAACUCAACUAAAAAAAUUGGUGCAUCCCAUAAAAAGUAUAACAGAUCCCGAUCAUUUUAAAAUGGAAAAUCUUUUGGGACAGGAAGAAUUAUUAACACCAACGCCCAAUAGACAUUCUAAGCCGGAUUUAAUAUUGCUAGAUGAAGAAAUUUCAGCAUAAUUUAAAAUGUUGUAAAUUUAAACAAAUUUACGCGGCUGUCGUUAAGUUUAAAGACUUAAUAAUAAACUCAAACAUUAAAAAAUUUAAAAUAAAAUGGUCGAAGAAUAAUAAUUCUUAUUUAUUCUUACAACUUA
rnacentral:lncRNA from 1 species